rnacentral:tRNA from 1 species
UUUUCUGUAUAUAUUAUAUACAAUUUUUUAAUUAAAUUAAAAAGUUGGUUAGAAAUUCCAAUCAUGGAGU